CUGAAUUUGUGGAAGAAAAAUUCAUUCUACUAUUCUAGAUACCUACUGCAGAAACUCUACCUCCAUAUUUCAUUUCUGAUUCUUAGAUGAAGUCUAAUUUGGCAAAUCAUUGGGCAAAUCACUAAAUGAGCUGGAAAGACACUUUUCCAUCUAAAAGGUAUUUCACACACUAAUAAACUACAGAGACUAUGGGGGGAAUCUAUAAGAACUUGCACCAAAAAUAACAACCCUGGAGGAUGGAAUUUGUGAAACUCUGCAGGACUUGUUGAACAAAUCUGCCUUAUAAUAGAUUGCUUCCCACAGAGAUUGAACUUGAGAAACACAAAAUGAUAAAAAUGUAUUUUAAAGUUGUCACUAAAGUGAACAUCUAAAUAAGAAAA